UGCGCCGGCUGCGAGCGCUGCCGUGGUAGAGACGUGCAGAAUCACGGGCGAGGAGAGAUUUGGGCGGGAGGGAGCGAAAGGCUUCGACCGCUACAAUGCGAUCACAGCGGGUUUGUCCGAGCCCUUCCCGAAAUCAGAGAACAGGGGGCCCGGGAUUCCUGACAGCACAGGCCGGGCCCAGCCUGCUGGCAGGCUGGCAUGGUUCCUCCUUGCCCUGCCUGCUCUCUGCGUUCCGAGGGGUCGUGCCGCAGCUCUGUCACCUCUGUGAUCGCUGUGUGCCCAGGGCAGGGGUUGUCCCGCUGUCCCCAGCAGUGGUGAGUGCCACCUCGGGUGCUGUGUCCUGUCCUGACCCUCUCCCUGCACUAAACUGUGCCCAGAGAAGGGGCGAGGGUGUGGAGUUCUGUGAGGGGCAGCUGAGGGAGCUGGGGCUGGAGGAGAGGCUCAGGGGACACCUCAUGGCUCUCUGCAUCCCCUGACCGCAGGGAGCAGCCAGGUGGAGAUCAGGCUCUGCUCCCAGCAACACCAGGAUGAGAGGACAGAGGCUCAAGGUGUGCCAGGCUGGACAUCAGGAGGAAUUUCUUCACUGGAAGUGUGGUCAGGUAUUGGAACGGGCUGCCCAGGGAGGAAUCACCAUCCCUGGAGGAGUUCAGGAGAUGACUGGAUGUGGCACUGAAUGCCGUGGUCUGGUUGACAAGGUGGUGAUCAGUCAGUUUGGACUCGAUGACCUUACAGGUCUUUUCCAGCCUUCAGAAUUCUAAACCUUGACACUGAAUUCAGCUGAACCCUUCCAAACCUGGGGAAAGUAAAAGUGUUUGCAGCUCAUCCUGCUCUGGCAAAAUUUAUGCUGGCCUUGAAGACAUCACUGAAAAUAUUUAGCUCCCUGAAGAACCUGGGCUUCAAAGCUUCUUCCACCAGCACAAGGAAAACCCAAGCUGCUCUGGAGCGUGCUUUCUCAACCGGGAAACUUCUCAGCUGUACAAACCAGAGGCUCCAACCCUGGCUGGCGAUGAAAAAUCUUCAGAGGGGGAGGCAGAGACUUUCUGAAACGAAUGACAAACACAGGGAGCCUUGUCUCGGGUGCUUCUCACCCGGUGGUCCCUCCUGGCAGAGUGAAGAUGGGAUUGAUUUGCCGGGAUUUCUGCUUCGGGUAUUUGCCAACGCGUGUGUUUAUGGGGUUUUUAAUGGCACAGCAAGUGGGACGGGAUGUUUUGGCUGCUGGUUUGGGUCGCUGGUUUCGGUGCCUCUAGACAGGACUGCAUUGGGGGGGGUCUGUCAGUCCCUUUUAUUUUAGGUGGAGGGAUAAUUUUGCCCCCUUUCUUCCCCUUC